rnacentral:tRNA from 1 species
CGGGUAACAGAGCUGGUGGCGCUGACUUGUUUCAUAGGCAAGACGAGGUUGGUUCGAUUCCAACACCCGAACCCA